GAUGAACGCUAGCUACAGGCUUAACACAUGCAAGUCGAGGGGCAGCGGGGAUCUAGCUUGCUAGAUUUGCCGGCGACCGGCGCACGGGUGAGUAACACGUAUCCAACCUGGCCCAUACUCGGGUAUAGCCUCUCGAAAGGGAGAUUAAUCUCCGAUGUUGUUGUUUCACCGCAUGGUGUUGCAUCCAAAGAAUUUCGGUAUGGGAUGGGGAUGCGUUCCAUUAGCUUGUUGGCGGGGUAACGGCCCACCAAGGCGACGAUGGAUAGGGGUUCUGAGAGGAAGGUCCCCCACACUGGAACUGAGACACGGUCCAGACUCCUACGGGAGGCAGCAGUGAGGAAUAUUGGUCAAUGGGCGAGAGCCUGAACCAGCCAAGUAGCGUGAAGGAUGACUGCCCUACGGGUUGUAAACUUCUUUUGUUUGGGAAUAAAGUUCAGCACGUGUGCUGUUUUGUAUGUACCAUUCGAAUAAGCAUCGGCUAAUUCCGUGCCAGCAGCCGCAGUAACAC
rnacentral:rRNA from 1 species